GUAGGUGAACCUGCGGAAGGAUCAUUAACGAGUAAGAGGGCCUCGCGCCCCGGGGGGCUUCGGCCCCCAACUCCCAACCCCGUGCGUACCUACCUUUUGUUGCUUUGGCGGGCCUCGGUUAACGCCGACGCCGGCCCGGGGGCCGGCCCGGGCUCGUGAGUGCCCGCCGGAGGCCAUAUCAAACCCUGUUUCAUCAGUGUAGUCGGAGCAAAAAUUCAAUAACUAAAACUUUCAACAACGGAUCUCUUGGUUCUG
rnacentral:misc_RNA from 1 species